GCAGAAUGUAGCACACGAGACCACGUCAACAUUGCCAGGAGUGGCGCUGCCUUCUACCAAGUUAUUGUCAACGCUGUUUUAAAAGAACAAAUACUCAUACGGAACAUGCAGAGGGAAAGGCCUUGAUAAAGCUGACCAUUCACAGAAAUUCCCCACGAGUCUGCUGUAGGAUGAUUUUGAUCCGAGAAGGCAGACGCUCAAGAUCUUGUCUUGCGCUUCCUGAUGCUCUUGACGUUCCAAGGGAAGAGCCGUAUUCAUCUCUUCGUCCUUUGCAGAACCAGGACUGGUGUUUGAUUCUUGAUCUAGCGGUUUCAAAAACGAAAUCUGGCUCGUUAUCUCCAGCUGUUGGGAAAUCAAGCUUGUCAGAAAACGGACGUAUAUUUAAUAGACAUUAUAUUACAGUAAAGUCUAC